CUGAAUCACAUCUAUCAGAGGGAUGUGACUGAGUCGCAAAUAUCAGAGGGACACGAUUGAAUCACAUCUAUCAGAGGGACGUAACUGAAUCAUAUCAAUCAGAGGGACACGACUGAAUCACAUCUAUUAGAGGGACACGACUGAAUCACAUCUAUCAGAGGGACGCGACUAAAUCACAUCUAUCCAAGGGACGAGACUGAAUCACAUCUAUCCAAGGGACGCGACUGAAUCACAUCUAUCAGAGGGACACGACAGAAUCACAUCAAUCAGAGGGACACGACAGAAUCACAUCAAUCAGAGGGACACGACUGAAUCACAUCAAUCAGAGAGAAUUGACUGAAUCACAUCAAUCAGAGGGACACGACUGAAUCACAUCUAUCCGAGGGACACGACUGAAUCACAUCUAUCAGAGGGACACGAAUGAAUCACAUCUAUCAGAGGGACGCGACUAAAUCACAUCUAUGGAAGGGACGCGACUGAAUCACAUCUAUGGAAGGGACGCGACUGAAUCACAUCUAUCAGAGGGACACGACUGAAUCACAUCAAUCAGAGGGACACGACAGAAUCACAUCAAUCAGAGGGACACGACUGAAUAACAUCUAUCAGAGGGACACGAAUGAAUCACAUCAAUCAGAGAGAAUUGACUGAAUCACAUCAAUCAGAGGGACACGACUGAAUCACAUCUAUCCAAGGGACACGACUGAAUCACAUCUAUCAGAGGGACACGAAUGAAUCACAUCUAUCAGAGGGACGCGACUAAAUCACAUCUAUGGAAGGGACGCGACUGAAUCACAUCUAUGGAAGGGACGCGACUGAAUCACAUCUAUCAGAGGGACACGACUGAAUCACAUCUAUCAGAGGGACGUGACUGAAUCACAUCAAUCAGAGGGACACGACUGAAUAACAUCAAUCAGAGAGAAUUGACUGAAUCACAUCAAUCAGAGGGACACGACUGAAUCACAACUAUCAGAGGGACACGACUAAUUCACAUCUAUCAGAGGGACGCGACUGAAUCACAUCUAUCAGAGGGACGUGACUGAAUCACAUCAAUCAGAGGGACACAACUGAAUCACAACUAUCAGAGGGAUGCGACUGAAUCACAUCAAUCAGAGAGAAUUGACUGAAUCACAUCAAUCAGAGGGACACGACUGAAUCACAUCUAUCAGAGGGACACGACUGAAUCACAUCUAUCAGAGGGACACGACUGAAUGACAUCUAUCAGAGGGACGCGACUGAAUCACAUCUAUCCAAGGGACGCGACUGAAUCACAUCAAUCAGAGAGAAUUGACUGAAUCACAUCAAUCAGUGGGACACGACUGAAUCACAUCUAUUAGAGGACCAUGCCCAGGACUAUCUGGCCUGAUGACUCCUUGCUGUCCCCAGCCCACCUGGCCGUGCUGCUCCAGUUUCAACUGUUCUGCCUGCGGCUAUGGAACCUUGACCUGAUCACCGGACAUACUACCUUAUCUCUGACCUGCUCUCUCUCCACCGCACCUGCUGUCCCGAACUUUGAAUGAUCAGCUAUGAAAAGCCAGCUGACAUUUACUCCUGAGGUGCUGACCUGUUGCACCCUCUACAACCACUGUGAUUAUUGUUAUUUGACUCACCGUGAAGCAUGGAGGAGGAGGUGUGAUGGUGUGGGGGUGCUUUUCUGGUGACACUGUCUGUAAUGUAUUUAGAAUUCAAGGCACUCAACCAGCAUGGCUACCACAGCAUUCUGCAGCGAUACGCCAUCCCAUCUGGUUUGCACUUAGUGGGACUGUCAUUUGUUUUUCAACAGGACAAUGACCCAACUGUCACACCUGCUCACGCUCUUCCCUCCCUGGCGCUCGAGGGUGCCAGGCUGCCCUGCAUUACGCACUCCUGCCCCCAUCAUUUACGCACACCUGCCUUACCUCGUCAUGCGCAUCAGCAAUAUUGGACUCACCUGGACUCACCCAAUCACCUGUUUAUUACCUCCCCUAUAUUUGUCAUUUGCUCUGUUCCCCGCUGCUGCAUUGAUUGCUAUUUGUCUGUGUUACCUGUGUGCUGACGCUGUUCCUGUCUCAUUCUAUGUCCGUUCCCUGUUAAAUGUUUGACUCCCCGUACUUGCUUCUCCUCUCCAGCAUCAUCCCUUGACACCAACACACCUCCAAAAUGUGUAAGGGCUAUUUGACCAGGAAUGAGAGCGAUGGAGUGCUGCAUCAGAUGAACUGGCCUCCACAAUCACCCAACCUCAAACCAAUUGAGAUGGUUUGGGAUGAGUUGAACCGCAGAGUGAAGGAAAUACAGCCAACAAGUGCUCAGCAUAUGUGGGAACUCCUUCAAGACUGUUGGAAAAGCAUUCCUCAUGAAGCUGGUUGAGAGAAAGCCAAGAGUGUGCAAAGCUGUCAUUAAAGCAAAGGGUGGCUACUUUAAAGAAUCUAAAAUCUAAAAUAUAUUUUCAUUUGUUUUACACUUUUUUGGUUACUAUAUGAUUCCA
ensembl:lncRNA